rnacentral:rRNA from 1 species
AGCGAACGCUGGCGGCAGGCCUAACACAUGCAAGUCGAACGAAUCCUUCGGGAUUAGUGGCGGACGGGUGAGUAACACGUGGGAACGUGCCCUUUGGUUCGGAACAACUCAGGGAAACUUGAGCUAAUACCGGAUGUGCCCUUCGGGGGAAAGAUUUAUCGCCAUUGGAGCGGCCCGCGUCUGAUUAGCUAGUUGGUGAGGUAACGGCCCACCAAGGCGACGAUCAGUAGCUGGUCUGAGAGGAUGAUCAGCCACACUGGGACUGAGACACGGCCCAGACUCCUACGGGAGGCAGCAGUGGGGAAUCUUGCGCAAUGGGCGAAAGCCUGACGCAGCCAUGCCGCGUGAAUGAUGAAGGUCUUAGGAUUGUAAAAUUCUUUCAGCGGGGACGAUAAUGACGGUACCCGCAGAAGAAGCUCCGGCUAACUUCGUG